UACGUAGGGACCGAGCGUUGUCCGGAAUCAUUGGGCGUAAAGAGCUCGUAGGCGGUCCGUCACGUCGGCUGUGAAACCCGGGGCUCAACCCCGGAACUGCAUUGGAUACUGCCUUGCUUGAGUACUGGAGAGGGAACUGGAAUUUACGGUGUAGCAGUGAAAUGCGUAGAGAUCGUAAGGAAGGCCAGUGGCGAAGGCGAGUUCCUGGACAGUUACUGACGCUGAGGCACGAAGGCCAGGGGAGCAAACGGG
rnacentral:rRNA from 1 species